rnacentral:rRNA from 2 species
UCAGAUUGAACGCUGGCGGCAGGCCUAACACAUGCAAGUCGAGCGGUAACAGAGAGUAGCUUGCUACUCUGCUGACGAGCGGCGGACGGGUGAGUAAUGCUUGGGAAUAUGCCUUAUGGUGGGGGACAACAGUUGGAAACGACUGCUAAUACCGCAUGAUGUCUACGGACCAAAGUGGGGGACCUUCGGGCCUCACGCCAUAAGAUUAGCCCAAGUGGGAUUAGCUAGUUGGUGAGGUAAUGGCUCACCAAGGCGACGAUCCCUAGCUGGUUUGAGAGGAUGAUCAGCCACACUGGGACUGAGACACGGCCCAGACUCCUACGGGAGGCAGCAGUGGGGAAUAUUGCACAAUGGGCGCAAGCCUGAUGCAGCCAUGCCGCGUGUGUGAAGAAGGCCUUCGGGUUGUAAAGCACUUUCAGUAAGGAGGAAAGGUUAAGUGUUAAUAGCACUUAGCUGUGACGUUACUUACAGAAGAAGCACCGGCUAACUCCGUGCCAGCAGCCGCGGUAAUACGGAGGGUGCGAGCGUUAAUCGGAAUUACUGGGCGUAAAGCGUACGCAGGCGGUUUGUUAAGCGAGAUGUGAAAGCCCCGGGCUCAACCUGGGAACUGCAUUUCGAACUGGCAAACUAGAGUGUGAUAGAG